rnacentral:rRNA from 1 species
CAGGACGAACGCUGGCGGCGUGCUUAACACAUGCAAGUCGAGCGGUAAGGCCCUUUCGGGGGUACGACGAGCGGCGAACGGGUGAGUAACACGUGGGUGACCUGCCCUCAGCUCUGGGAUAAGCCCGGGAAACUGGGUCUAAUACUGGAUAUGACUCCAUGACGCAUGUUGUGGGGUGGAAAGCCUUGUGCGGCUGAGGAUGGGCCCGCGGCCUAUCAGCUUGUUGGUGGGGUGAUGGCCUACCAAGGCGACGACGGGUAGCCGGCCUGAGAGGGCGACCGGCCACACUGGGACUGAGACACGGCCCAGACUCCUACGGGAGGCAGCAGUGGGGAAUCUUGCGCAAUGGGCGAAAGUCUGACGCAGCGACGCCGCGUGAGGGAUGACGGCCU